UGAGUGAACCGGGUGAUCGCGAGGGUCUAUACCCUUGAGGAAAGUCCGAGCUUCGCAGAGCAGGAUGCUGGGUAACGCCCAGUGGGGGCAACCCCAAGGCUAGUGCCACAGAGACAAACCGCCACCGGCCAUGGGCCGGGGGUAAGGCUGAAAAGGUGAGGUAAGAGCUCACCAGCGGUUAGGUGACUAACCGGCUAGGUAAACCCCAUCCGAAGCAAGGUUAAAUAGGGGAGAAGAGGUUGCUCGCCUCGUUUGACUUCCGGGUUAACCGCAUGAGGUUUCAGGUAACUGAAAUCCUAGAUAGAUGAUCAUCCUCGACAGAACUCGGCUUACAGGUUCACUCAGAUC
rnacentral:RNase_P_RNA from 1 species